AUACGGAGGGGGCUGGCGUUGUUCGGAAUUACUGGGCGUAAAGCGCGCGUAGGCGGACUUUCAAGUCGGAUGUGAAAGCCCUGGGCUCAACCUGGGAACUGCAUUCGAUACUGUCAGGCUAGAGUAUAGUAGAGGGAAGUGGAAUUCCGGGUGUAGCGGUGAAAUGCGUAGAUAUCCGGAGGAACACCAGUGGCGAAGGCGGCUUCCUGGACUAAUACUGACACUGAGGUACGAAAGCGUGGAGAGCAAACAGGAUUAGAAACCCCAGUAGUCC
rnacentral:rRNA from 1 species